CCUGGAUUUUUGGGGAUGGGAUUUGCUAGAUUGGCAGGUCCGGAGCCAUGAUGUAGGACGGAGGCAUUCAGGCUGCAGGUUUCAUGGAUCCUCGUUCCCCAAAGACAGGAAGACCAGCAGCUGGACUUCUCAGGCUAGGCGGCCGUCCACCAGAGGGGCUGUGCCCACGUGUAAGAACAUUUUGGAUACUGGAGAUUCCUGGAGAUGCUUUGAUGGAAGCUAUAGAAUAGAGAAGAGUGGUCCCCCCAGGACCUGAGAGGGUCCUGGCCCACGGCUCUCCAGAGAGGCAACUUUGAGCACAUGGCUCCUCUCUCCGAGGCUCGGUUUCCCCACCGUGAUCUCCUAGGCGGUAAGGGUUAAGACAAGUGGCCUAUGCCUCAUCCUUCCUCCCCCUUCCCUUCCAGGACCCUGAGGCCGGUGACAGAUUGGCCACCUCCCAGCCCCUGCUUCAGGAGCGAGGGCGCGUGGCUUGGUGAGAACUCUGAGGGAGAAGUGCAGCGGCCUCGGGGGAGGCUGCCUUCCUCGGACACGACUGACUGCAGCAUGAGCAGGAGGCCGACCUGCAAGCCGGGCAGGUUCCACAGGGGCGGGAGGGGUGCGGGGUGAGCUCAGCAGAGGCACCCCUCCCUCUGGACUCCGGUUACAGUGGAGACCAGCUGAGCUCCCGCAGCUUCCCUGUGAGUGGCUGUGGGGUCCUGAAGCCGGGGCUCCUGGCGUGGCUCCGGGCAGGACAAGAGCCAUGCCCGGGAUGCGGAGGAAAGAGCUUCACCAUGGCUGUGAAAGCCCCACCACCCCUGGGAGCGUCCGGCUUGGUUCGGGCUACCGGAGUGGGCGCCGCCCGGCGCGGCCCAGAUGUCCUGUCGGGACUGGGCCUCACCGUCCCCAGGUGGCGGCUGACGGCGCUCAGCAGAGCCCUCCCGGACUCGCCCUUGGCUGGAGGGUCCGCUGGCCUCUCUGCAGGCAGCCGGUGUCUGCUGGUGGCUGGACAUGUUCCGAGGCCCCUCCGCCCCAAUUCGGGAUGAUUCCUGCAGCCAUCCCAGCCCCGAGCUCCUGUGGGGUCAGCUGAGGCCUCUGCCAUGACCGUCUGCAGUUCAGCGUCUCCCUCUGCCCGGCGGGGCCACCCCAGCAAGGCCUCACCUCCUGUGUCAGAGCCUGCCUCCUGCGAACCACACAAGAGGGCCCACGCGGACCAGGGCCACGUCCGUGGGAGAAGGGGGAGUUGGUCUGACCCACCCUGUACCCCGCUCUCUAUCUUCGCCAGAGCACUCGUACCCUGUGCACAUGAGAAGCCUGAGGAAAGCCAGGGAAUCGGGGGGCUGAUGAAACGGGGUGCCCGAUGCCACCCCAGGGCACAGCAAGGGUGCCAAGACUCCUGGCCUCUCAGACACUGGAGCUGGAGUCCGGCUUCCUCUCCUUGUUGCCGCUUCCUGCUUCCUUUCUUUGGCUCCAAAGGAAAGUCUGCAUCUCUCCCCAAACGCGGGGAGCUCAGGACCAUCCCUGGGAACCUCAGAGGACAGAGCCUGCUUCUGCGGCCGUCCUGACAUUCCUUCCGCACGGCCUGUGGGCCAGGGCACGGCGGGCAUCAUUAACUCUUCUAAGCAAACCUAAACUCUCCAGUCCCAACAUCCGCACUGCAGGCAGCAGAAACCCCACUCGGAUAAAUCUCCCCUGGGUCCCCGUGUUUCCUGACCCCUGCCCUCCCCUACUCUGCUUUCUGUCCUUGCUUUUGGCCAAGAGGACGAGCGGUGUCCAGUAUCAGCAGCGUCCCUCAUUUUCAUACUUUGCUUUGCAAAGGUGUGUAAAUGAGUUCAAGCCUCCUGGACAGGUUUGGGCAGUGUUUGCUCGCGCCUGUGACUCAGCACUCCCAUUUCUGGGUACACAUGCACCCCAGGGCAUGUGCGAGACUGUUUGCAGCCGUUCCAGUUCCAGUGACCCAAACUGGAAACUGCCAACAAGACCGUGAAUCCCAGAAAGGAGACAUUGUGGUCGUGCGUUGUAGGGACAAUGAGCAUUGGUGAGAGUUGAGGGGCUGCAGCUAAGCGUGGCCACGUCGUGUGCCACAAACCCAAGACCCCGUGAGAGAAGCCUUCACGAAGAACUGCCUGCUGCACGAUCCUACUCCCAGAAAGUCUGAAACUUGGGACAGGAUCAGUGAGUCUGCACAGCAGGUGGUAGUGGGGUCAGGUGUCAGGGUCCUGGGGCCGCUGGAACGCAUCAGCACAGGCAGGGGCUUCAGCAACAGACAUUUAUCCCCUUGCUGUCCCAGAGGCAGAGGCGUCUGCAGGGCCAGGCUCCCCCCGAGGCCCCAAGGAAGGGACCUUCCUGCCUCUUCCAGCUCCUGGGUGCUCCAGGUGUCCCUCGGCUGGUGGCCAUGUCCCUCCAUCUCUGCUUGUGUCUUCCCGAGGCCUCUCCUCUGUGUCUUUGUUCAAAUGUCCCCGUCCUUAGGAGGACACCAGUCGUGGGCUCUACGGCCCACCCGACUCCAGCAUGACCUCAGUGUAUCUUAGUUACAUCUGCAAAGACCUGUUUCCAAAUGAGGCCACGUUUUGUGGAUCCAGGUGGACACGGUGGGGGGCUGCUCUUCACCCCGGUACCGGCAUGGAGGAAGGCUAUGAGCUCCCAAGGCGGCUCCCGCUAGCAGGGGCGUUCUGACUCUGGCUCCCCGGCCGUGACCUUGUGAACCCCACCCAACAGGGUGUGCGGCGGGAUUCGGGGGACAGAGCGUGCACUGCACUUCCACGACACACUCACAGUAGAGAAGAGGGUGGCAAGAGAUGCAGAUCUGCUCAUUCCACAGAAUUGUAUUCAUAUGGCCACUUUUCCAGGGCCACCGAAACAAACGACCACAAAAUGGGCGGCUUGGACAGAGAUGUACAUCUUGCAGACCUGGAGGCCAGACGUCUGACACGGGGCUGGCAGGACUAACGGAGAGGUAUCCGCAGAGCUGGCCCCUUCUGGAAGCCCUGGGUUCCGGGGAUUAGGACACAGACGUCUUGGGGGCUGUUAUUCUGCCAACUGUUUACCUACCUUGCGGCCUCUGAGAGAAGGGGAGUGUGGACAGGUAAGCUGGACCUGAACCACCCCUGGGGGGCCCGGGAGUGAGGAUAUGUCACCCCAUGGGAGACUGUAAGGGCAGAGCCAUAGGGCCCUUAAGAGCGGGACGAGCACGGCACCUGGCGAUUUGCUACGGAGCGGAUUCAAGUGCUGGACGCAGCCGGGAGUUUUGGGAGAUGUGUGCACCAGGUAGGGUGCUGUUCAGAUAGCAAGUUCCGGAACACUCUCCGGCCCCAGGGCCUCCACGGCAACAUGGCUCAAGCCUGGGACUGCAUCGGUGACUCGACGUUUCCCACCCGGACGGGCGUGCCGUGGCUGCCCCCCAGUACAGAAGGAGGCGCAGCAGCAGGAGAGGGACCGGGAUCCUCGGCAGAGACACUCGUGUGGGCACCGUGGGCCCCACAGGCUGACCGGAAAUGACGUCCGCUUGGAUUCACCGGCUCUUUCCCCCUCGUUUUCCCGACGGUCAGACACUGUGUCUCCGUGGCUCCUUUUCUGCAGGCUCCAGUGAAACGUGGCUGCUGAGCCAUCAGCGUCCCGCCCUGUGGCCUCCCGUGGACAGCUCUCCAUGGACGGCCUUCCGUGGAUGCACGAGUCAGCGCUCGGCUGGCUGCCCUGCAGGCCUCCCCAGACGGGGCCGAGGGACCCUCAGGAGAUGGGGCAUGGCUGGCGCUGUGAGUUUGGACUUAAGCCACGACGAGGUGUUUGCAGACUCCCUCGGAGAAGAUGGGAAGAUACGCAAUGUUCGAUGUGACAGAACAGGCAGGAUCUCGUGCUUGUAAAUAACUCUGCACUGGGACUUGGACUCAUCUUGACCCCGGAUGUCCGGCCUCUCCCUCCCCACAGCUGUGGGUGAGGGAAACCUGCUAGAAAACGCCACCCAGUGAACCCAGUAUAAACAGACCCUUCGUGUGGAAAGGGAGGCCGAGGGGGUGGCGUGUUCCCUCGAACGCUGCCGGCCCUCCGGGGGCCCUGGAGCUUGACAAAGCCUUGACCACAGGCGAGCCCGUUCCUGUCAGGAGCCGCGUCCAGGAUUGUCCUGCGUGGUCAGGCCCGUCAUGAGGACCAGGUCAGAUGCCGCGUUUGCUCUCGUUGGGGAAAGCGUAGAGGCCCCAUUGGUCUCUGUAUCCGUGUCCUGUUGUAACAAAGGGCCACAUACGGAGCGCUUAGCCACAGACACGUCCUCACUCAGGCUCUGGAGGCAGAGGUCUGAGAUCGAGGUGUCCGCGG